rnacentral:rRNA from 1 species
AUUGAACGCUGGCGGCAUGCCUUACACAUGCAAGUCGAACGGCAGCGGGGACUUCGGUCCGCCGGCGAGUGGCGAACGGGUGAGUAAUGUAUCGGAACGUACCUUUCAGUGGGGGAUAACGUAGCGAAAGUUACGCUAAUACCGCAUAUUCUCUGAGGAGGAAAGCAGGGGACCUUCGGGCCUUGUGCUGAUGGAGCGGCCGAUAUCAGAUUAGCUAGUUGGUGAGGGAAAGGCUCACCAAGGCGACGAUCUGUAGCGGGUCUGAGAGGAUGAUCCGCCACACUGGGACUGAGACACGGCCCAGACUCCAACGGGAGGGAGCAGUUGGGAAUUUUGGACAAUGGGCGCAAGCCUGAUCCAGCCAUGCCGCGUGAGUGAAGAAGGCCUUCGGGUUGGAAAGCUCUUUCGGACGGGAAGAAAUUGGUGGGGCUAAUAUCCCCAUCGGAUGACGGUACCGUAAUAAGAAGCACCGGCUAACUACGUGCCAGCCGCCGCCGUAAGAC